CUAAGAUAUGUUCUCUAUUUUUUUUCUAUUUGAUAUCUAUAUCUGAAUCCUAUCUCAUAUAUGAUGAUCCUAUUUAUGAUUUUAAGAUUUGAUCUUACGCACACUUAGAUUAAAUUAGAUUUAAUAUGAAAUUUUAAAUUUCACUGCAUACUUGUUUUGAAAAUUUUCUUUGCAUGCAUGAAAUCAUGAAACUCCAACACUUGGGGAGUGGAUGU
rnacentral:lncRNA from 1 species